rnacentral:rRNA from 1 species
UAGGGAAUCUUCCACAAUGGACGCAAGUCUGAUGGAGCAACGCCGCGUGAGUGAAGAAGGUUUUCGGAUCGUAAAGCUCUGUUGUUGGUGAAGAAGGAUAGAGGCAGUAACUGGUCUUUAUUUGACGGUAAUCAACCAGAAAGUCACGGCUAACUACGUGCCAGCAGCCGCGGUAAUACGUAGGUGGCAAGCGUUGUCCGGAUUUAUUGGGCGUAAAGCGAGCGCAGGCGGAAUGAUAAGUCUGAUGUGAAAGCCCACGGCUCAACCGUGGAACUGCAUCGGAAACUGUCAUUCUUGAGUGCAGAAGAGGAGAGUGGAAUUCCAUGUGUAGCGGUGGAAUGCGUAGAUAUAUGGAAGAACACCAGUGGCGAAGGCGGCUCUCUGGUCUGCAACUGAUGCUGAGGCUCGAAAGCAUGGGUAGCGAACAGG